AGCCCGCGGCGCAGCGGCCGCCACGCUGCGCCCCGAGGCCCAGCCGCUGCGGCGCCGGCGGGAGCAGCGACCGACCGCCGAUUAGUUUUAUCUCGGAACGUCAAUUGACUUAUACUGAUUGGCUUCCUGCCGCCAAAUGUCAAUUAAAUUGCAAAUGUUCAGCGGAGGCCCAGCGCGGGCCGCGAUGGCGGGCGGCCCCUUCCCGAGGGCGCCCGGUGCUGCCGCGGUGGGUUUGAGUUCUCCUCCCACGCCGCGAGCGGCAUGGCCUAGCCUUCCCGGGCCAGCAACCCUCAGGCCCCGCCUGGGAGUUGGAGGGAGACCCACGGAAGCCGAACAAGCCUGCCCUGGAGUAACUCCUGCUUCCGAGAAGAAGAGGGAUCUUCGCUAGGUGACAAGGCUGGGUCUUGGGAUGCAACUUCUGGCAUGGUCUUUACUAAACUCCCUCUCGCUGCUCCCUCGUGGUUUUCCUCACCAGCCAAGGCUCAGAAGAACUUGGAUGCUUAGAAUCUUCAAGUUUGAGUGUGCUUGAGGAAAGGGACAGACAGUCGUCUGGUGCCCUGGGCUUCACAACCGAAGCAGAUUCUGUUUGCUGGCUUGCUUUGCUUUUGAAACAAGGUCUCUUAUAUUCCAACCUGGCCUGGACCAUCCUAUGUAACCGAGGAUGACCCGGAACUUCUGAUGUUCCUGCCUCCACUCUCUGAGACCAGGGAUUACAGGUGUGCACCACCCUGACCUUUUUGUGUGGUUCUAGGGAUAAAAGGGGCCACGGCUCCAGGAGACACUAUUUUUUGUUACCAUUGUUGGGGUUCUGUUUUGUUUUGUGACAGACUCUCUCUAUGGAGGCCUGGAGUUGGUGAUACGCCCACCUCCACUCUCUUCUAUUAGAAUUGUAGGUGAGGACCACCAAGAUUGACUCCUGAAAAGUCCUGGCCACUGCUCUCUCCGAGAGAGUGACUGGGGCACAAGGCAGGGAAGUCAUCCCAGAGUUCCCAAAGACAAGUGACCAUGGGACUUGCAUUCCUCCAGAGCUUUGGCUGCACUGUUUGCUCCCAGUGGACAGAUGGCAAACAUAAGACAGGCAUCAAUGUGCUCUGCCUGUAUAGAGCACCAUCGCUCCCAGAGCACUUUCCUGUGUUGUGGGGCUCGCUAAACUUGCCAGGACUCGGAAGGAGUCACUCUUUUGAUGGUGCUGGGAUUUCAGGUGUGCACCACCACACCUGGCUGAGCGCUUCCUUUUCUGAAGAAAGAAGAUGAUGGGAUACUGGUCCGGGUUGGGCCAGCAGGUGUAUCUGCAGCCCUGUCGGAGAUCCUUCCCCUCUCCAGAGCUCGACCUCCACCCGUGGGACAGAAGAAGUGAACCAGGCAACCUGUCCUGUCCUCUGGCAGUGCUCCUGUAUUGGUUUCUUGGCCCUAAGGACUCCACAAAUAAGAUGAAUGCACCCACCAGGGGAAUCAGCAAGGGAGAGCAUGCGUGCCACGGAAGGGUUGAAUGAAGUGCUGCCCAGAGAAAAGCACUUGGUUUGGCUUCACCAAGAAGCCAGCUCAGAUCCAUCCCAUGGGGAGGAGCUUAGCUGCAGUGCUUGCUGCUAUUUCCAGAGCUUCACCAUGUUGUCCAACAAUGACUACACGAAGAAAAAAACACCAAAAAGUUUUCCAAAGACAAAGAAGCCAGUAAAGAAAUGUGAGGCAAAGUCACAAUAGGACACAAAGGCAAAGUCACAAUAGGUGAUCCAAAGGCAAAGUUCAGGACCAGCUCAUCCACCUGGUCCUAUAUGACAGACUCUGUAGACAGUGCCCAACUAUAAACCACUCCAGCUGUGCUCUCUGAAAGACUGAAGAUUCCAGGUGCCCUGGCUAGAGCAGCCUUCAGGAGUGUCUUAGCCGAAGAUGCAUCAGCCUGACUUCAAAGCACGGAGCCCAUGUCAUUUACACCAGAAACACAAAGAAUAGAGAUGUCCUAGCUACUGCCAAAGAUGCCAGAGAACGUUCAACAGACAGGAUAUUUGAAAAAGUAAAACUUUAUUAAACAAAAACCAACAAACUUUAUCAUAGAAAGGACCCACGUAGCUGGGAGCCGGAAGGGUCCCCAGUUUGCCUUUCUAGAGUCUUUGUUGCAGUUCUAGCAUGAACCUCACUAUGACCUUGAGCAGACUGCUCCACUGUGGCCUCAGCUCAGACACGGAGUUACCAUAAAUUGUUCUUUGAUUAUUUUAAGGAAGCAAAUACUUUUCAUGAAAAAAUUAAAGCUUUGCAGGAAGGCUCUCUGUAUUUAGAGAUCAAGGCUGUAUUGACUUCUCUUUCCCCGAAGCCUGGCAGCUCUGACACUCUCCAGGAGCAUGGUGGGGGGGAGCCCUGAUGGGGAACUUCCAGCAGGAUCAGUGGGGGCCUCCAGACACCACUAGCAUGGCACACCUUUGAACACAGAACAAAGACAACCAAAAGUCCCUGGAAAUGGGUGAGGCGUGAUAUAAUAAAAUAUUGACUUUCUCUAGGAAAGUUCUGUUCCUGGCUCAAACUGUUCCUGUUUAACAGGACACUUGGUAGAGUUCUACUUCAUUAUUAAAGUACUCUGUGUUCAUUAUAGGCUACUUUUCACUUUUCUGUGUAUGAGCAUGUGUCUGUAUACUCCAGCGCACAUCGUGUGAGUACAUGUAGAAGCCAAGAGACAACCUCGGAUGUUGUUACUUGCGGUAGGCUGGUUGCCAGUGACCUGGAGUCUGUCUUCCCCCCUCCUUCACCAUAUGGGCACCAAAGAUCAAGCAAACACUCAGGUUGGUGGUGAGCAUCAUCACUCGGCUGAGCCAUCUCCCAGAACUUUACCCAGCUUUUAUAAAUGUAGAUUCUAAAGGACUCAAAAUCAGGUGCCUGUUCUCACAAGGAAAGCCCUUUGCCCCCUGAGCCAUUUCCCCAGAUCUACUUACUAUAGACUGUGUGGAUAACACAUAAGUAUAAAGAAGAUAUCUAUGAGGUGUGGUGCUGCAUGUCUGUAAUCCCAGCACUUGGGAAGCUGAGACACAAAAGACUAAAAGUUUGAGGCCAGCCUGAACUAUCAAGACCCCAUCUC
rnacentral:lncRNA from 1 species